rnacentral:rRNA from 1 species
UACGGGGGGGGCAAGCGUUGUUCGGAAUUACUGGGCGUAAAGGGCGCGUAGGCGGUUCGCUAAGUUGGAUGUGAAAACUCUGGGCUCAACCCAGAGCCUGCAUCCAAAACUGGCGGGCUAGAGUUCUGGAGGGGGUAGCGGAAUUCCGUGGUGUAGCGGUGAAAUGCGCAGAUAUCAGGAGGAACACCGGUGGCGAAGGCGGCUUGCUGGGCCAGUUCUGACGCUGAGGAGCGAAAGCGUGGGGAGCGAACAGG